CAUAAGUCCGUACUACAAAAGAAUGCACAAAAACCUUUUUAAAUUUCAAUUUUACGCUUAAAAGCAACACAAAUCUAAAACAAAUGUUGAAAUUAAAUCUUAGUAUCUAAAAUGAGUGAAAUUUCCUAGCAUGUACUUGGUGCAAAGUACAAAACCACGUUAUUUUUACGGUUGGCAAUAACCUCAAAAAUCAAAAAAUUGCUUGUCACUUUCUCUUCUAAAAAACAUCAAAUAAAUUGCAUCAAACCAGCAAAAUUGCAAUCAAAUCCUCAAAUUACUAUAUCUAAAGACUAUUUAAUGAAUAGAGAGCAACCAAGACUAAACAAAAGGGUGAUUAACACAGUAAAUAUUUCACAACUUUCCUGGUACAUGAAAUUUCACAAGAUUCCUUUAGCAAGUUUAUACCCAGGGCGCCAGUGAAACGUGCUAUUUUAUAGGGGUUAAAUAAUAUUGCAAAGCUCCGGCUUGUUCAAAGAAAGCUAUAGCACGUUAGCACAAAAAAAAUGAAAUUAAAUCUUAAUAAAAAAUGUGGUGUCUAAAUUGCUUGCUAUAGGAACCUAUUUUGGGAGAUGAAAAAGCUGGCGCUGAUGCCCUACUAAAUUAAAUCAUGGAAAGGACCGACCUCAGAAUUUAAACGUUCCUCAGAUGCAGCGGGGUGACAGGCUGCUUUCCCCGGUGAAGCUAGAUGCUGAGCGGAGACGUAGAGCUCAGGGGCCGCGCACGUGGUACCAAAAUGACGUGGCAGAGGUAGAUGGCGUGUUUAAAUUCUUCGCUCCAGGAGGUCUCCAAAACUAAAUUGACUUCUAGGAUUUUUGAAGCUUUUGAGAUAAAUUACUCAACGAAUGAAAUAAAUGAAUGAAUAAAUCAGUAAAUCCCGGCUCCUGAAAACCGAGAAAAGGUUAUAUUAGCCUACGCCCUUUAUGGCCGCUAGAAAAGAGAUGAAACCAUUGGAAAUUUGGCUCACCGCACUGGUAGCUGCUAAGCCUUCUGGCGGAGCGCUCCCUUCCCUCGAGCAGGAGUCUCUCUGCAAAGAACCAAAAUUUGGUUAAGAACAAACCCACAACGUUUCGCGCCAUUGUGGAGUCGAUCACCACGAAAUUUAAUUUCUACUCACUCAGUGGAGCUUCCGAAGGACUCAAGCCGUUUCCAUCUUUCAGACCACCAUGCCGAAAGUGUGGCCUUCCCACAAAUUGGGCUCUUGCGAGCGAGUGUCCCCAGAGGGGUUCCCAAAUCAAAUGUGCAUAUCAUUCUCGAAUGAUCUCCAAUAUGGAGUCCCUGAGAGCCCUAACAAAAGGUAAUAGGGUGGCAGUCCCUUGAAGACACAAAUCCCACGAAAAUUCUGUCUGAAUUAUUUAGACAAUAUCACUCCUGAGCCUAAGAAAUAUAUUUUUACCAUUUAA